UACGUAGGGGGCAAGCGUUGUCCGGAAUCAUUGGGCGUAAAGCGCGCGUAGGCGGCCCGGUAAGUCCGCUGUGAAAGUCAAAGGCUCAACCUUUGAAUGUCAGUGGAUACUGCCGGGCUAGAGUCCGGAAGAGGCGAGUGGAACUCCUGGUGUAGCGGUGGAAUGCGCAGAUAUCAGGAAGAACACCAGCGGCGAAGGCAGCUCGCUGGGACGGUACUGACGCUGAGACGCGAAAGCGUGGGGAGCGAACAGG
rnacentral:rRNA from 1 species